AUCGGAAUAUCGAUUACAAAUUUUUGAUAUUUUGUGAUAUUUUUGUCUUCGGUCACUCUGAAUUCUGAAUUAGCUAGCUGCACGUGGAAAAAUCAAAGCGCAAACAAACGAGAAAAUGAGUGUGAAAUCCAACUAUUUUAUUGAGAAAAACGGGACAGCAAAGUGCAAACUUUGCAACAACGUAAUAAAAAUCAGCAGCAAUACCACCAACCUGGCUUCGCAUCUUAAGAACAAGCAUGCUGAUGUUUUCGCAAAAUGCGGACAAAAGAAGCUCUCAAUGAACUUUGAGAAAGUUAUGACGAUAACAGAGUCUUUAAGGAAUGUUGAGCAUUUUAAUGCCGGUGGCGUUUGUUAUUUUAGAAGAAGGAUUUAAGGCAAAGGAAAUGAACGAGGCAAUUGUCUUUAUGAUUUGGAAAGACAACAUGCCAGUGCGCUGCGUCGAAAAAGAAGGCCUAAAAGGACUUUUGAAAACAUGUGUGCCUCACUUUAACUACUACCCGACUACCCGAAAUGCUCAAUGCCUUAGAGCUCAGUGUGUGCAGCGACUUAUGUAGUCUCCUGCAGCCAUUUAAACAAGCCACUGAGCAGAUAAGCGGUGAACAGUACCUCACCGUAAGCAUGGUGGUUCCACUUAUUUCGCUACUGGAAAACAACAUGAAACAAUUAUAUAUGGAAACAGACGAGGAAAAGCGAGCCAAGGAGGUUCUUUAAGGAAUUCAGAAAAGAGGUUCCAGUCGUUUCAGUUAAAUAAAAUUUUAGUGAAAUCGUCAUUUUUAGACCCUAGGUUCAAAAAAAUGUAUUUGACACCGCUUUCCGUAUCGGAGGCCAUUCUCAACAUAACCAUUGAAACCGAUAUAUUUACCCAAAAAAAAGAUUUCUGAUGACGAACAAUUAAAUAACUUCAAGGACUUUAAGAGCUUCCAUAACAAGUCCAUCGCAAAUGACAGUGACGAAUCAAAGAACAAAGAGCUAAAAAUUUAUUUUAGCUUGCCCAAAGCUGCGUGGGAAAGCAAUCCCCUGGAAAUGUGGAAAUCGCACAAAGCGACUAUGCCGGGCCUGUACAAGCUGGCCAUGAAGUAUUUAAUCACCCCGGGAAGUUCGGUGCCCUCAGAGCGGCUGGCGUCCGCCAUUAAAUGUGUGGUGUGUGACUCAAGGAGCAGGAUGACGGACGCACACAUUACCCAAAGGGUAUUCCUAAAAUCACUAAAAACGGCAAACUGGUCUUAAGAACUAUUUAAUAAUACUGUUAUUUUUAAAAAGAAACUUAUUGUCUUUUUAUUGGGGGCGGGAAAUUUUUUUAUUUAACACAAAAAAAUCGGAAGUAUCGAUAUUAUCGAUGUUUUUUAAUAUGAUAUUUAAAAUAAUAUCAUUUUUUUUUGA